rnacentral:rRNA from 1 species
GCGGCGUGCCUAUACAUGCAGUCGAGCGAAUGGAUUAAGAGCUUGCUCUUAUGAAGUUAGCGGCGGACGGGUGAGUAACACGUGGGUAACCUGCCCAUAAGACUGGGAUAACUCCGGGAAACCGGGGCUAAUACCGGAUAACAUUUUGAACCGCAUGGUUCGAAAUUGAAAGGCGGCUUCGGCUGUCACUUAUGGAUGGACCCGCGUCGCAUUAGCUAGUUGGUGAGGUAACGGCUCACCAAGGCAACGAUGCGUAGCCGACCUGAGAGGGUGAUCGGCCACACUGGGACUGAGACACGGCCCAACUCCUACGGGAGGCAGCAGUAGGGAAUCUUCCGCAAUGGACGAAAGUCUGACGGA